rnacentral:tRNA from 1 species
GCUGAAUUAGUUUAAGUUUUUAAAAUGUAAUAUUUGGGUUGUUUUGAUUGUAUUUCAGCU